UUGCCUCUUCUUCUUGCUAAUCCUUUCACCAACAGAUGUCAUCGUUUCCUUCUUCCACAGACCGUAGACCAAAUCAUUAAAUUGAGACUCCCAGUAGAAAUUUUGCUACAACAAAAAACAAAACAGUAAGAAGUUUAGAAAUAGGAAAUAAUAACAGUAAGAGAUUUAAAAAAAAUGAAAUUUUUGAUUACCACAAACGUUUGCCACCAGGAAUCCUUCCUUUC
rnacentral:lncRNA from 1 species